rnacentral:rRNA from 1 species
CCUACGGGAGGCAGCAGUGAGGAAUAUUGGUCAAUGGACGAGAGUCUGAACCAGCCAAGUAGCGUGAAGGAUGACUGCCCUAUGGGUUGUAAACUUCUUUUAUCUGGGAAUAAAAUGUUCCACGUGUGGGAUUUUGUAUGUACCAUAUGAAUAAGGAUCGGCUAACUCCGUGCCAGCAGCCGCGGUAAUACGGAGGAUCCGAGCGUUAUCCGGAUUUAUUGGGUUUAAAGGGAGCGUAGGUGGAUUGUUAAGUCAGUUGUGAAAGUUUGCGGCUCAACCGUAAAAUUGCAGUUGAAACUGGCAGUCUUGAGUACAGUAGAGGUGGGCGGAAUGCGUGGUGUAGCGGUGAAAUGCUUAGAUAUCACGAAGAACUCCGAUUGCGAAGGCAGUUCACUGGACUGCAACUGACACUGAGGCUCGAAAGUGUGGGUAUCAAACAGGAUUAGAUACCCCUGUAGUC